UACGUAGGGGGCAAGCGUUAUCCGGAAUUAUUGGGCGUAAAGAGCUCGUAGGCGGCCUGUUGCGUCUGCUGUGAAAGCCCGGGGCUUAACCCCGGGUCUGCAGUGGAUACGGGCAGGCUAGAGUUCGGCAGGGAGACUGGAAUUCCUGGUGUAGCGGUGAAAUGCGCAGAUAUCAGGAGGAACACCGGUGGCGAAGGCGGGUCUCUGGCCGAUACUGACGCUGAGGAGCGAAAGCGUGGGGAGCGAACAGG
rnacentral:rRNA from 1 species